rnacentral:rRNA from 1 species
UACGGGGGGGGCAAGCGUUGUUCGGAAUUACUGGGCGUAAAGGGCUCGUAGGCGGCCAACUAAGUCGGAUGUGAAAUCCCCAGGCUUAACCUGGGAACUGCAUCCGAUACUGGAUGGCUUGAAUCCGGGAGAGGGAUGCAGAAUUCCAGGCGUAGCGGUGAAAUGCGUAGAUAUCUGGAGGAAUACCGGUGGCGAAGGCGGCAUCCUGGACCGGCAUUGACGCUGAGUGAGCGAAAGCCAGGGGAGCAAACGGG